rnacentral:rRNA from 1 species
UACGUAGGGGGCAAGCGUUGUCCAGAUUCAUUGGGCGUAAAGAGCGUGUAGGCGGCCAGGUAGGUCGGUUGUGAAAACUGGAGGCUCAACCUUCAGACGUCGACCGAAACCAUCUGGCUAGAGUCCGGGAGAGGAGAGUGGAAUUCCUGGUGUAGCGGUGAAAUGCGCAGAUAUCAGGAAGAACACCCGUGGCGAAAGCGGCUCUCUGGAACGGUACUGACGCUGAGACGCGAAAGCGUGGGGAGCGAACAGG